CCUACGGGAGGCAGCAGUAGGGAAUUUUCGUCAAUGGGCGCAAGCCUGAACGAGCAAUGCCGCGUGAACGAGGAAGGUCUUCGGAUCGUAAAGUUCUGUUGAAGGGGAAAAAGAGCGGAGAGAGGAAAUGGUCUCCGAUUGAUAUUACCCUUCGAGGAAGUCACGGCUAACUACGUGCCAGCAGCCGCGGUAAUACGUAGGUGGCGAGCGUUAUCCGGAAUGAUUGGGCGUAAAGGGUGCGUAGGCGGCCUGCUAAGUCUGGAGUGAAAGGUACCGGCUCAACCGGGAUAGGCUCUGGAAACUGGCGGGCUAGAGAGCAGGAGAGGGCGGUGGAACUCCAUGUGUAGCGGUAAAAUGCGUAGAUAGAUGGAAGAACACCAGGGGCGAAGGCGGCCGCCUGGCCUGUUACUGACGCUGAGGCACGAAAGCGUGGGGAGCAAAUAGGAUUAGAUACCCUGGUAGUC
rnacentral:rRNA from 1 species